UUCUCCCAUCAUGGCGACUUACACUUACAAGUGUGACCUCAUGUUCUGUGAACUUGUGAAAAUUAAUUCUAAAAGUUUUGAAUUUGACUGUAAUAUUGGCUAUAAGCAAGAAAAAUAUCUCGGAACUCAUUGCAACCUUAGCUGUUUUAAACGAAAAAGCCAGAGCUGGCCAGAGCAUGGAGACUUGAAGAUAGUUUAUCAGUCUUAGAAAGAGUGUCAAAGUUAACUAAUGUACUGUUUAUCAUUAAGAUUUGGACUUUGGAGAUUAAUUGAUGGAUCAACAAUAGAAAGCAUUGUUCCAAAUUGUGGCGCAAAAGAAGAUUAAAUGAGGCAAAUACCCAAUUGAGAUUUUUGUUGCAGGACUAGCAAGUCAAAUGAUAAUCAGUGCCUUCCAUAUUUGCAAUAACCUCACUUUUGCAAGUAACCAACCAUUAAAAUGAGUAAAUAACCCCCCAUAGAGGUACACCCCUGUUCCAAUGGAAGAUAUCUGCAACCACACCUGGUCACCCUUCAUCAGAUGGA